CUACGGGGGGCUGCAGUGGGGAAUCUUAGACAAUGGGCGCAAGCCUGAUCUAGCCAUGCCGCGUGAGCGAUGAAGGCCUUAGGGUUGUAAAGCUCUUUCAGCUGGGAAGAUAAUGACUGUACCAGCAGAAGAAGCCCCGGCUAACUCCGGUGCCAGCAGCCGCGGUAAUACGGAGGGGGCUAGCGUUGUUCGGAAUUACUGGGCGUAAAGCGCACGUAGGCGGACUGGAAAGUCAGGGGUGAAAUCCCGGGGCUCAACCCCGGAACUGCCUUUGAAACUCCCAGUCUUGAGGUCGAGAGAGGUGAGUGGAAUUCCGAGUGUAGAGGUGAAAUUCGUAGAUAUUCGGAGGAACACCAGUGGCGAAGGCGGCUCAUUGGCUCGAUACUGACGCUGAGGUGCGAAAGCGUGGGGAGCAAACAGGAUUAGAUACCCCCGUAGUC
rnacentral:rRNA from 1 species